rnacentral:lncRNA from 1 species
CCUACAGUGCUGGGAUUACAGGCCUGCCCCACUGUGCCAGGCCUUCACAGUCAUUCUCAGUGGCUGGGCUAGAGGAAGCAGCGGGAGAGGCAGAGGUGGGGAACCUGCUUUACAGAGCCCAACAGUGAGUGAUCUUAGGGGAAUUAAUGCCACCCCCAAAAAGUUUAUUUAAAGCUGUAGUUUCAGGAACAAUGCCUAACAGUCACGUGACGUUCAUAUUCUGUCUGAUAUGAAUAAUAAAACUGAUAAUAUAAUCUUAUUGAAUAUUAGCUAAUGUUACAAGUGAAGCAAGUUAAACCAUAUCUGGAAAAACGUGCUAAAUGGGAAGCUCACCAGGCAAGAGCAAGCUACGUGGCUCCCAGUAGCACCAUUGACUCACUCUGACCUUGAAUUAUGAAGGAUACUAAAUAUAGAAUUUCCUGUAGGGUGAAGAUUUCUUGUGAGAGCAUCACUUUUAGGGUUUUUACUCUUUCACAUAAUUUUUUUCUAUCCAUGUUAUGCUAUAUUGUCUCCCUCUUUGUCAUUUCCACCUUAUCUUUUAGAGACCUACUUAGUCCCCAAAGAAGAGAGCUUUCUGCAUUCUAAGGGUUAUGCAGAGGUAGUCACAGAAAAUGAUUUUUUAACCUAUAAGUUCCAUUUUUCGUGUAAUCUCAUGCAUAUUGAAAAUACAGACUUUAAUUCUAUUGCAUUUUUCAGAAUUCUCAAGCAUAAUCCUCUGAGGACUGUCAAAGAUUCAUCUUUUUAAAAUUACCAGCAUUAAAAUAUCUAGACUUGGGACAAACACAUGUGCCUCUUACAGCACUUGAGAACAUAGUCACAAUGGCUUUGGAAUUGGAAACAUUGAAUUGAGAAAUGGACCCGAGACUUUGGAGGCUGAUUCAGAUUCAUUUUAGAAGCCGGCCAUCUUCCUGUGCUCUCCCAACCCAGAGCAAGACUUUUGAGUUGAAAGGAGAUGCUUCUGAAUGCAACUCAUUACUGUCACUCAGUGCUAACCUCUAUUACUUUUGUUUUGGGCCCACCGCAUGCACUGCCAAGCUCACCCUUCUGUGGGGAACCUCUCUCCCUCCUAUUUAUUCACAAUAUUGAAAAGCCACAAUUGCUAUUGGGUUCCCACCCAACUGCUCAGAUCUUGCCUCAAGAACUGCUUUCUGGGCAGCCUUGCGUGAGCCUUGUCUUUCCUCUACUACCAUUCAAGGAACCUCUGUCCAGUAACUCAGAUCUCUGUGUUUCUGUCUGCAGGAUCUUACCGAGCCAUAUGGUCUGCUGUCUCUGCCACUUUAAAGAUGAUAUUGAGGUUGUCUGCAAGACAGUCAAGCUGCUGUGUGACAGCGCAUGUCUGACCAAUGACACGCAGUGCCUCAUCAUUGAGGCUCUGAACCUGGAACAUCACAUAACAGCUAUACCUACUGCAGGGCUUCAACUCUCUCCACAUUUUCAGGAGACCCCAUCUCAGCCUUCAGAGCCAUCUAUGGAAGCUAUAGAAGACUACAGAGUACCACAUGAAGCGACAAAUCCAAAACCGCUGGCUGAGCAUACAGCUCAGCCUCCAAUAAUGCCCAGUGUUGUGGAACAGCCCUUGGACAUGGGCUUUACCCUAAUUCCUAAAGUCACUACAGAGGCUGAACAAUCUAUUAUGCUGCAGGAGCUUAGAGUUUCUCCUUUGAAGCACCCAGAGGUGACACUUGUACAGCCAGAGUAGGUGCAGGCGCAGGAUCAGGGGUGAACUUCACUGUUGUCAUCAUUCAGGCUCUGAACCUGGACAUCACAUAACUCCUGUACCUACUUCAGAGGUUCAACUCUCCAAAUUUUCAGGAGACCCGGUCUCAGCCUCCAGAGCCAUCUAUGAGCGUAUAGGAGAGCAUACAGUACCACAUGAAGUUACAAAUCUAAGACCCCUCUGUCAGGAUACAGCUCAGCCUCCAAUAGUUCCAAGUGUUUCGAUGUACAGAUUCUCCUCUGAUGCACCCGGAGGUGACACUUGUUCAACCAGAGCAGAUGCAGGCGCAGGCUCAGCAGCUAAACCUCACUCCUGUUGUCAUUCAGGCUCUGAACAUGGAAUACCACAUAACUCCUGUGCCUACUGCAGGGGUGCAACUCUCUCCCACUUUUCCGGAGACCCCACCUCAGCCUCCAGAGCCUUCUGUGGAGCCUGUAGGAGAGCAUACACUACCACAUGAAUUGCAAACUCCAAGGCCGCUAGGUCAGCAAAUGGCUCAAGCUCCACUUGUGCCCAGUGUUUCGGUUCAACCCUUGGACAUGGACAUUACCCUAAGUCCUAAACUCAGUACAGAGGCUAAACAUUUUGUGAUCCUGCAGGAAGUUACAGUUUUUCUUUGAAGCACCGGAGCAGACACGUGUACAGCCAGAGCAGACACAGGUGCAGCUUCAGGAGCCAAACCUCAGUCCUGUCAUCAUUCAGGCUCUGAACCUGGACCAUCACAUAUCUCCUGUACCUACUGCAGAGGUUCAACUCUGUCCAAAUUUUCAGGAGAUCCCAUCUCAGCCUUUGCAGCCAUCAAAGAAGGCUAAAGGAGAGCAUUGCACUACCACGUGAAAUGACAAAUCCAAGACCACUGGGUAAGCAUAGAACUCACCCUCCAACAUUGACGAGUAUUGUGGUACAGCCCUUGGACAUGGGCUUUACCCUAAGUACUAAAGUUACUACAGAGGCUGACAAUUCUGUGAUAUUGCAGAAGGUUACAGUUUCUCAUUUGAAACACCCACAGGUGAAAAUUGUACAGCCAGAGCAGAUGCAGGUGCAGGCUCAGGAGCCAAGCUUCACUCCGGUCAUCAUUCAGGCUCUGAACUCGAACAUCACAUAACUCCUGUAACUACUGCAGAGCUUCAGCUCUAUCCAAAUUUUCAGGACAUGUUUGGUUGACCAGUAUUGCAUGUCUAUAUCUGUUUUCAUGAGAAGCCACUUUGAAGAUAUCAAUAUGUAAUACAACCACCAUUGUUAAUUCCC